GAUAACUGCUGAGCUUACAUGAAGCAGGAGGGAGGGAGGAGAAAGCUUGAUAUUAAAUGCAGUAGAUAAAACUACUACCCUUUGGAAAGGAAGAACUGUGUAACACCUAAAAUAUUAUAUUAAACACAUUACCUUUUGUAUUUGAUGUUAGUGAAAUGAACCAAUUUUUGAAUUUAAACCUGAUGAUACAUAUGACUUCUCAGCAGGAGUGAGAAAUAUUUUCAUUACAUCCAGGUAGAAAAUUGAUUUUUACUCAGUGUGAAAGGUGACGUGUAGUAUUUCUUUAAAUCUGUAGUAGGAAGCAGAAUGCAUCUCCUCAUGCUGUACAAAAAUCAAUUUACCAAAGCAGAAGAAAACUUAAGUAUAUUCUAGACUAUGAAACAGAGUGGAAACAAAGCAGUUUUGGAGAUAGCACUUUGUACUAAUUGCAAUAAGGUUAAUCCUAAAUUUGUAGAGGAAAGCCUUUGUUCCCCCUUGAUUAUAAGCAAUAAAAUUUAAAAAAAAAUAAUAAAAAAGUGGAAAAUAUGCAGAAAAAAAUAACAGGAAAAGAAAAAUAAUUACAUUUUGAAUUAGAAACAAAAAGAAUGGGAAAAGAAAAUGCUGAGGAAAAAAGAGGAAACCAGAUAUGUCUGUACCCCUACUAUGCACUCUAGAAUCUGCAUAGCAUCUACUGAAUUAGGAAGAAAGUUGCGGGAAGUGAUACUGGCACAUUGACAUUCAUUCCUCUGUGCUUGUGCUGUGUGUACUAAGAACUGAUCCAGCUCCCAUCAGUUUUCUAGACUUCACUGCUAGCUGCAAAUCAUAGAUUUGCAGAUUGGAGAUUUCCUCAUACCAGAAUUCUUGCUUCCUUACAUGUGGCUCCUCAUAUUCAGGAAAGCCAUCAGAUCAACCCUAAUCAUACCAAAGAGUAUGAUAUCACUGCUCAUCAUACAAAUUGACUUCAUGUAAGCUUUGUUGGAAUAAUUUGAGUGGUUUUCUGUCUGUUUGUAUAGACAGCUUUCCAGGUUACAAUCUGUGCUGGUUCUGUGAGAGCCAGAGUACACCUUUCUGACAGCUCAGUCAGGUGAACUGCUACAUCUCUGAGGUAGAAGAAAAAAUGUUUUGAGAGAGAUUGAAAAAUGUUGAAUUUAAUCUUUUCAACAAGAAGCCAUCAAACCACUGCCUUUGGGGAGACGCUGAGAAAACUUCAGAGUAACAGAACAUGAUUUACAGUUGAUAGCUUAAAUCCAAGAGCAGAGAAAAUAGGCCAUUAUAGCAAUGUAACUACCUCCAUUGUUACUUGAUCUACAAAAACAAUGUCUUCUAAGAAGACUGAAGGCUGAUAAAUAAUCUGUAGCUACAUCAUUCAGCCACUCUUUUUUACAAAUUAAAGCCUUCACAUAAAAUUAAAACCUAUCUUUUUACCAUGACUGGUUAGAUACUACAAAAACAAACAAACAAACAAACAAAAAACCCUAAUUCAUAGAAGUGGGGUUACAGGAUGACAUAUCUUUUUGGUCAGUGCUUUGCUGGUUACAGUUAUCAAGUCUCACUGCAACAAGAUAUCUUAUCUUGAAAACUUUUUACACUGAGAAGCAGGUUAUAUGUAUUUUAUGUGUAUUUUAUACAUGCAUGUAUUUGUAAAAACACAAUCAGUAGGCCGAACAAGUUACUGCCACUGGAAUAACAAGAGAUCAGAAGUUUCGCUAUACCGGUAUGAGACAUUUGUUUUGCUUAAACUUUACCCUUUUAAUAUUGUAUUCCAUUUUUUUUCCUGCCUGUUUCAUUGACUAUACUUAUAUUAAACCUGUAGAAAAUCUGAAUUUAUAUCAUGAUUUCUACGUUAAGUUCUCUUGCUGAAAAUGGAGUCCAUACAAACCUAUGGAGCACUUAAAUUCAUAUGAUGUUAUAUGAUAAUGGCAGAACUGUAAAAAAAAUAUGACUACCUGAUGCUAUGGUAGUAAUUACUACUAAAAAGGUAAUAGAACUUGCUGAAAUGAACAGUUUGUUAUUGAAAAAUCUGUUCUUUAUCUGUAGUAUUUUUCUUAAGACAAUAGUAGUUGUAUAGCAACUGUUGGUAGCAUUUAAAGGGUAAAUUAUGUGGGCAUAUAACAGUACUGUGUCUGUAAGUGUGUUUCUGCACUUGUGCUUCUACUAAUGAGACUUAUCUACUAGUAUGACUUAGGGUAGAUGCAUCCUUAUGGGUCAUCCCUCUCUCCUGGCCAGGAAAUCCUGCAGUUCAUGGUUUCCCAGCAUCACUGUCAGACUUGAAGGAUCUCCUUCCCUGAGAAUAUAUGUUCCUCACAGUGUGGGUACUGUCACUUCCACCCAUGCAGACUUUGAAACUGGAAGCCUGAGCUGAGAUGUCCUCACCAUUGGAGAAGCAAUUAACAAAAUCCCUGACUGGAGUCUAUGAAGCAUCUGUUAAGGAAGUAUAAAAGGUUAAGUUAAAUCCCAGCACACAGUUGUCAGACUAGAACAAAUCAGCAUGGAGAAUUACCUGGAGGCACCACAAGGUUAAGGUGGAGCAUAUGUGUGGUAAAAGGGUUGUUUAUGACAAGCAGAAUUAAUUUUCCAGGAUGAGAAGGUCAGACAUGCAGAAAUGAAGGCUGUCUGUGGUGAGCAGAGACUGUUUUAGGCUCUGGAUUUCACCUGGCAAACACCAAGGUAGAUUUCAUUGGUAUAUCUAAACUCAAAACACUUAAGAUUGUGAUUACAGAGGUGCCAAUAAAUGUUGUCUCCUUUGUACCAGGUUUAGUGGAUUAAUCAAACUGAUGCUUAAGACAGUUAUUUCUUAUUUCCUUACCUAACAGUAUAAGCUCUUUUAACCAUUCAAAAUGGAGUACUUCUGUCUGUGUCGUGUCAGUGCAAGAUGUUUUUACAUCAACAUGCGAUGGACUUACUAAUUCAAGCAUCC
ensembl:lncRNA